CCUACGGGAGGCUGCAGUGAGGAAUAUUGGUCAAUGGCCGAGAGGCUGAACCAGCCAAGUCGCGUGAGGGAAGACGGCCCUACGGGUUGUAAACCUCUUUUGUCGGGGAGCAAAGCGAGUCACGUGUGACUCAUUGAGAGUACCCGAAGAAAAAGCAUCGGCUAACUCCGUGCCAGCAGCCGCGGUAAUACGGGGGAGGCGAGCGUUAUCCGGAUUUAGUGGGUUUAAAGGGUGCGAAGGCGGAGGUGCAAGUCAGCGGUCAAAUUGCGGGGCUCAACCUCGCUCCGCCGUUGAAACUGGCGUUCUGGAGUGUGCGAGAAGUAUGCGGAAUGCGUGGUGUAGCGGUGAAAUGCAUAGAUAUCACGCAGAACUCCGAUUGCGAAGGCAGCAUACCGGCGCCCAACUGACGCUGAAGCACGAAAGCGUGGGUAUCGAACAGGAUUAGAUACCCGAGUAGUC
rnacentral:rRNA from 1 species